rnacentral:tRNA from 1 species
AAAUUAAUAUAAUAUUAAUAAUAAUGAUAUGAUAUUAUUUCAUUAAAUGAUUUUAUAUUCAUAUAUUAA